AUUGAUUGGAUUUAUAUUCAAAAGUUUCACAAGAACCGUAUAUUGAAUUGUUCACCUUUGAAUGAAAUUUUAGUAUUAUGUAGACUGUGCUAUUGAAAAUCUGCAAUUGGGCAAUUUUUUAUUUUAUUGUUUUUUUUUUAAUUAUUUCGCUUUUCAUUCAACAGCUCUCCAGGCAGUGGCUUAAAAAAGAGACAGGAAAAUGAAUAGAGGAGGGUCUAAAUAGAAAGACAACUAAUACAAGUAAUACUAAGAUUAAAAUUGUAGCCUCGGAGAGCAAUAGUUGUUUGGCUGUUGGAGUCAGUGACUCCUAUUUGAAAGCUGGAUAGGGUGAGAACAGGAAAGCAAAUAAUUAAAAAAACAAUAUACAAAAAUAAUGAAGACAAAUUAAUAACUUGCUUAGAAUAGGCAAUUCUUUAAGUCACUAUUUCAACGGUGUACUGAUAUGAUCACAAUUUAUAACGUAAAAUUAGAUUGAGACAAAGUUAAAGUAAUAAUGUAAAUGGCUAUUAAUCUGGAAACCCUAGUGCUCACAUUAAAUGAUUUAAAACAGAGUCCUAUCACGUGUUUCACAGUCAGCAACAUAAUCAAGCAUCUGCCUCAAGCACUCUCAAUCUGUCCGGCGAUCACUGGCAGGCAUUGCAAGAUUUUAAUGAAGGCUUAGGGAGAAUAACCUUCCCCAAACCAACAAAAAAUCAUCUUCUAUAACACAAGAUUUUUUAAAAAAUGUUGACAAAUUUUUCUUUUAUUGAUUAUUAAAUGUAGGGACAGGUAUAGAAAGAAAGAAGGGUUGGGAAGGGGAGGAGUAAACACAUACAACAUAUGUUCAGAAAUUUGUAAAGUAACUUAGUACAGGGAAUACACCUACUUAUACAUUGCUGUCGGAUUAUAAUUUAUUUAGAAUAUACCCUACUUUCAUGGGUAACUCAAACGGCCAUAGUUUAAUAUUUUUAUCUGCUGUGCAUCUACCAAGGGUCUCCAUGUCGACCAAUACAGUGCAAUUUUAUUGUGAAUCAGUAGUGUAAUUUCUACUUAUUUUGUAGUUUCUUCCACUACUUGUAUCUAUUCUCUGAAGGAGGGUGGUCAUUGAUUUCCAUUUUCUAGAUCCUAAAGCUUUAGCUGCAUAUAGCAUAUGGAGGGGCUAGUGUUGUUCGUUCUUAGGUCAAAGUGGAAAAGAAUGGGUGAAAGUCUAUAACAGAUAUAUAAAUUUUGGUUAUUUAACUCAUAAAAUUGCAUGUGUCAACCCAAUAUUAUUUAAUUGCAGGGCAUAAGAACCAUAUGUGUUUAAAUGAGUCUUCACCAGAGUUGUAUCUCCAGCACAUCUUUGAAGAGAAGGGGACCUCCUAGUGCUGAGUUUAUAUAAAAGCUCUCUUAUCAUAACGCUCUGGAGGAUCUAUGCAUUCAGUGUAGUACAUUUUAUCUGGCAGUAGAGGUACCAUUGGAGAGUGCAGGCAAGAUGGAUAGAGAUGUAGUACAGUUUAAGAGACAAGGUAAUCUCCUGCAGCAUUGCCUUGAACUCAAUGAGGGAGAUUCUAUUGGCGCCACCUUGGAAAGUGCAUGAUUUGUUUUCUUCCGGACAAACAGUGGUGCUAGCUCUUGUUGGGACAGUUUGCUUUCAAACAGGUGUUUCCUUCUGUAUUUUGUUUGUUAUUCCUAGGGCAGGAUUGCUUAUUAUUGCCAAGAAUGGAGUGCUUCGAACACAGGAGUUAUGCAGCCAUCUUCCUUGAGGGCAAGCCACAUUUCCUCUGGAACUGCAUUUUUUUGGCUCCUGGGGGUAUGGUACAUGAAACUGCCAUCUUAUGAUAUAACAUCUUAUGUUAUGACUCUUUCUGUAACCCCAUGGGGUGGCCAAGCAUUCCAGAUAUAUUAUACAUCGAACUGGCACUGCAUUUACCUGUGCUCUAAGGCACUGGUCCCCAACCAGUAUCUUGUGAGCAACAUGUUGCUCACCAAUCUCUUGGAUGUUACUCUCAGUGGCCUCAAAGCAGGUGCUUAUUUUUGAAUUCCAGGCUUAGAAGAAUGUUUUGCUUGCAUAAAAACCAGAUGUACUGCCAAACAGAGACUCAUGUAGGCUGACAGUCCACAUAGGGGCUACCAAAUAGCCAAUCACAUUUUUUAUGCUUGUGCUGCUCUCCAACUUUUUAGAAUUUUGCUCGUGGCUAUUUUAGGGUGGGGAGCACUGUUGUAAAGUAUUAGGCAUGAACUUUGGACUAUAUUUAUAAGACCAAGGGGGUUAUUUACUAAACUCCAAAUGCCAAGAACCCGAAGAAUUCAUGUUUUUUUAAUCAAAUCUGAAUUUUUAGUGAAAAAAAACCAUGAUUUUUUAAAGGAUGUAUUGUACCCCAAGGAUGGAAAAAGUCAGAAUCUGAAAAUCCGGCAUCUCAGACCUCUGGAGUUUUUGGGAUGGAAAAUCCGACUAGGAUUUGUAUUUUUCACAAUUUUUUUUUUCCCGCAAACAAUAAUUCAGAAAAGUGUAUUAAUAAAAAAAGCUGGCCAUAGACGCAAAGAUCAGAUCAUACGAAUUGAGGAUUCAAAAGAUUUUUGGACCAUGUGUGGAGAGUCCCAACAUUUUUCGUCCGGCGGAGAUCAGUUAUUUGGUCGAUCGGACAGGUUUUGAACUUGGGGAAGCUGGACACUAAUGGUUCUCUAACUCGGUGGGGGGCUGGGCACCACAUUUUUUAAAUUUUUAUUUGGGGGCCCUGACCACCAGUUUUUCAAUUUGUGUUAUGGGGGAUGGGGCAUGUCCACUAAAUUGUGGGGGGGGGAGGGGUUGGCCGCCAAUGUUGCACAUCUAUAUAUUUGCUGCUUUGAGUUUUGUCAGGCCUGUUUUUUAUUCCCAGUCUGGCCCUGCCUGCCAUGUAUAUAUGAGAUGUGCACCAUAUUUGUUUUGUCGUGUGUUCUGCUUCUGGGAGGCAUAUUUCAUGAAAUUGACACUACAUUUAUUAACAAAGGUAAAUACAAAAAUAAAUACGAAUAAAUAAAAUGA